rnacentral:rRNA from 1 species
AGCGAACGCUGGCGGCAGGCCUAACACAUGCAAGUCGAACGAACUCUUCGGAGUUAGUGGCGGACGGGUGAGUAACACGUGGGAACGUGCCUUUUGGUUCGGAAUAACUCAGGGAAACUUGUGCAAAUACCGAAUGUGCCCUUCGGGGGAAAGAUUUAUCGCCAUUAGAGCGGCCCGCGUCUGAUUAGCUAGUUGGUGAGGUAACGGCUCACCAAGGCGACGAUCAGUAGCUGGUCUGAGAGGAUGACCAGCCACACUGGGACUGAGACACGGCCCAGACUCCUACGGGAGGCAGCAGUGGGGAAUCUUGCGCAAUGGGCGAAAGCCUGACGCAGCCAUGCCGCGUGAAUGAUGAAGGUCUUAGGAUUGUAAAAUUCUUUCACCGGGGACGAUAAUGACGGUACCCGGAGAAGAAGCCCCGGCUAACUUCGUG